UCAUUUAGUUUGCUAUGUGUCU
rnacentral:siRNA from 1 species